UACGGAGGGUGCAAGCGUUAUCCGGAUUCACUGGGUUUAAAGGGUGCGUAGGAGGGCAGGUAAGUCAGUGGUGAAAUCUCCGAGCUUAACUUGAAACUGCCGUUGAUACUAUCUGUCUUGAAUAUUGUGGAGGUGAGCGGAAUAUGUCAUGUAGCGGUGAAAUGCUUAGAUAUGACAUAGAACACCAAUUGCGAAGGCAGCUCGCUACACAAAUAUUGACUCUGAGGCACGAAAGCGUGGGGAUCAAACAGG
rnacentral:rRNA from 1 species